AAUGAGAGUUUGAUCCUGGCUCAGGACGAACGCUGGCGGCGUGCCUAAUACAUGCAAGUAGAACGCUGAGGUUUGGUGUUUACACUAGACUGAUGAGUUGCGAACGGGUGAGUAACGCGUAGGUAACCUGCCUCAUAGCGGGGGAUAACUAUUGGAAACGAUAGCUAAUACCGCAUAAGAGUAAUUAACACAUGUUGUUAUUUAAAAGGAGCAAUUGCUUCACUGUGAGAUGGACCUGCGUUGUAUUAGCUAGUUGGUGAGGUAAAGGCUCACCAAGGCGACGAUACAUAGCCGACCUGAGAGGGUGAUCGGCCACACUGGGACUGAGACACGGCCCAGACUCCUACGGGAGGCAGCAGUAGGGAAUCUUCGGCAAUGGACGGAAGUCUGACCGAGCAACGCCGCGUGAGUGAAGAAGGUUUUCGGAUCGUAAAGCUCUGUUGUUAG
rnacentral:rRNA from 1 species